CCUCACCCUCAUUGAUAAUGGUCUUCACAAUGGAGUGGAGUUCUGCCCUACAAGGUUCUGCUCUUUCUGGAAUCCAAGUGUCAUCAGCAGGCUCCUAAAAAGUGACAUUGGACACCAGAAGAUAACAUGCCGGAGAGAUGGUGGAGAAGGACUUCACCAGCUGGUGUUGGCCUGGAAUAUGAGGAAGAGUCAGGAGCCAAGCAAAGUGGGCAGCCUGUAGAAGACAAGAAAGGCAAGAGACUAUCCAUGAACCAGGGAAGGAUUCCUUGUCUUGAAGUUGUGCAAUGUGCAACUUUCACAACAGCAAGCGGUGGCCCAGAUUCAAGACCACAAAAUGAGCUGCUGGAACAUCUGGGAAGAGGACCUCCUGCUUGCCAGGUAGUUCACAGACCAGGGUUUGUCACGGCAGCACUUCAUGGAAAACAGAAAACAUAAAGCCUUUGUAUGUCAGGGGCUGAGAAGGAAAAUAACUAUUCCACUGGAGAAGCCCUCAGGUCUGGAAGGAGGUUGGGCCAUUGUGAUUCCAUCAAGGCGCCAAAGCUGUGCCUGGAGGAAGUGAGAGCGUGCAGGAAGCCAGUCUGGAAGGAUUGGGUUCCUAAAGCCAUAGCUCAUUGAGGCUGGUGAUGAAUGGGGACCCAAGCUAUGGAGGACAGAGCAACAUGGAAGCCUGCAGAGAGAACCUGAUGAGCAAAGAGCAGCUCUCUUUGGAAGGACCCCACCUGCUUCUGCAUGGAUUAGCAGAAACCAGAUCAGACUGGGAGAGUAAUGGCUGUCUGUUCCUCCUCCCUUGUGAAAGAGCUCCAGGACCCCUAGAUAAUUUAGGAGGACAAGAAGGUGCACGCUUGUGAUCUGGAAUUCCCGCCUGCAGGUGGAGGCUUGAACAGGAUCUGAUUUGAUCUGGAAACUGAAACAGUUCUUGCCUGCUGUGAUAGUUUUCUCAUCCAUUUCUUCACCGCAGAGCGACUCCUUCCAAAACGGGGCCCAGGUUUGUGGCUGCUUUGUAUUGCCGUGACCUGGCGGUGGAUCUGGUAUACUGGCUGUUCUUAGUAAACAUUGUCAGACAGUGCCAAUAGGGGAAGGCACAGAGGGUUUGUGAAGCCAGAAAGUGGCAGAGGAGAACAACGUCUGAGCUCCAAAGAGAACUCUUCCUCCACCCACCAAAAGCAGACUCCUCAGAUCAUCUGCUCCAAACAGCUUUUUAAGGAUAUAAACUGGGGGAGGCUGUUGAUUGAACACAGAUAAUUAUUCUGCAACACCCCAGUAUGCACACAUCACAAACCUUGGAAAAUCAUGAGUCCCCAAACUUCUAACUCAAGUUUCACACUCACCUAUGGAAUAACCUAUGCACUUGUGGAUAAUGGUUGAGUGGGAAACAAAUUAGUUAUCUUCUCAAGAAGUUGCACACAGUGAAGCUACAACUUAUAUUUAUGUCCAUCAUAUAAUCCAUCUUGGACUCAUUGAUUUUUCCCUAGAGUAUAUGUUUUACUAUUAAAACACGUUGUAGAUGUGAGUUCAUAAAGAAAAAAGAAAAUAAUGUAUUUCUAAAAUUUAAGAGGGGUCUAUUGAAUAUUUAACAAUUUAAAAAGAGGUUUUUUUUUAUUUAAUUGCCAGCCAGGCAUAAUGGCAUAGUCUUUUAGU